rnacentral:rRNA from 1 species
AGUGAACGCUGGCGGCAGGCCUAACACAUGCAAGUCGAACGGCAGCACAGUAAGAGCUUGCUCUUACGGGUGGCGAGUGGCGGACGGGUGAGGAAUACAUCGGAAUCUACUUUUUCGUGGGGGAUAACGUAGGGAAACUUACGCUAAUACCGCAUACGACCUACGGGUGAAAGCAGGGGAUCUUCGGACUUUGCGCGAUUGAAUGAGCCGAUGUCGGAUUAGCUAGUUGGCUGGGUAAAGGCCCACCAAGGCGACGAUCCGUAGCUGGUCUGAGAGGAUGAUCAGCCACACUGGAACUGAGACACGGUCCAGACUCCUACGGGAGGCAGCAGUGGGGAAUAUUGGGCAAUGGGCGAAAGCCUGAUCCAGCCAUACCGCGUGAGUGAAGAAGGCCUUCGGGUUGUAAAGCCCUUUUGUUGGGAAAGAAAAACAGCAGGUUAAUACCCCGCUGUUCUGACGGUACCCAAAGAAUAAGCACCGGCUAACUUCGUG